rnacentral:rRNA from 1 species
AUUGAACGCUGGCGGCAGGCCUAACACAUGCAAGUCGAGCGAGCGGCGGACGGGUGAGUAAUGUAUGGGGACUGCCCGAUAGAGGGGGAAAACUACUGGAAACGGUGGCUAAUACCGCAUACUAGCGGAUAACCCAUAUGGGAUUAGCUAGUAGGUGGGGUAAAGGCACACCUAGGCGACGAUCUCUAGCUGGGCUGAGAGGAUGAUGAGCCACACUGGUACUGAGACACGGCCCCGACUCCUACGGAGGCAGCAGUGGGGAAUAGUGCACAAUGGGCGCAAGCCUGAUGCAGCCAUGCCGCGUGUAUGAAGAAGGCCUUAGGGUUGUAAAGUACUUUCAGCGGUGAGGCGUUACCCGCAGAAGAAGCACCGGCUAACUCCGUGCCAGCAGCCGCGGUAAUUC